rnacentral:rRNA from 1 species
UACGUAGGGGGCAAGCGUUGUCCGGAUUUAUUGGGCGUAAAGAGCGUGUAGGCGGCUUUACAGGUCCGUUGUGAAAACUCGAGGCUCAACCUCGAGAUGUCGGCGGAAACCACUUGGCUAGAGUCCGGAAGAGGAGAGUGGAAUUCCUGGUGUAGCGGUGAAAUGCGUAGAUAUCGAGAGGAACACCUGAGGUGAAGACGGGUUGCUGGGCCGACACUGACGCUGAGUGCGCGAAAGCCAGGGGAGCAAACGGG